UUCUGGGAGGAUUGACAGAUUGAGAGCUCUUUCUUAAUUCGGUGGAUGUUGGUACAUGUCCGUUCUUAGUUGGUUAAGCGAUUUUUUUGGUUAAUUCCGAUAACGAACGAGACUCUAUAGUAGGUUACAAGUCAAGAAGGUAUCAAGUGCCCCUCAAAGGGAAUCUUAUAUCCCGCCGCCACCUCCGCAUCCAUAGCGUCCCAUCGUUUCCGUGACGUCGCGACCAACGCGCAGGAGGGUCUUGCCUUU
rnacentral:ncRNA from 2 species